UAUAAUUAAAAAAUUUUGGAAUAGUAAUAAUAAUGAAAUUUAACGGAUUUGGCGGCAAGAUAGCCAAUUAGAGGAACCUGCCCUGUAAACGAUGAGCCACGAAAUACUCUACUUUUAUUUGUUAUCAGUUUGUAUACCGCUGUUGUCAGUCAGUUUUAUUAGAAAACUUUCUAUUAUGAUAAAUUCAAAUACUUCAAGUAAAGGUGCAGCUUAUGUAAAAGGUAGAGGUGGGUUACAUUUAUAAAAUUAAAACGGAUAAAUAUUUUGAAAAAUACUUUUGAAGGUGGAUUUAAAUGUAAAGUUUAAGAAAACUUGAUGUGAGCUCUAUCUUGU
rnacentral:rRNA from 1 species